rnacentral:rRNA from 1 species
ACCGGAUAUGACCCUCGAGGCAUCUGUGAGGGUGUAAAGCUCCGGCGGUGCAGGAUGAGCCGCGGCCUAUCAGCUUUUGUGAGGUAACGGCUCACCAAGGCGACGACGGGUAGCCGGCCUGAGAGGGCGACCGGCCACAUGGGACUGAGACACGGCCCAGACUCCUACGGGAGGCAGCAGUGGGGAAUAUUGCACAAUGGGCGAAAGCCUGAUGCAGCGACGCCGCGUGAGGGAUGACGGCCUUCGGGUUUAAACCUCUUUCAGCAGGGAAGAAGCGAAGUGACGGUACCUGCAGAAGAAGCGCCGGCUAACUACGUGCCAGCAGCCGCGGUAAUACGUAGGGCGCAAGCGUUGUCCGGAAUUAUUGGGCGUAAAGAGCUCGUAGGCGCUUGUCACGUCGGAUGUGAAAGCCCGGGGCUUAACCCCGGGUCUGCAUUCGAUACGGGCAGGCUAGAGUUCGGUAGGGGAGAUCGGAAUUCCUGGUGUAGCGGUGAAAUGCCAGAUAUCAGGAGGAACACCGGUGGCGAAGGCGGAUCUCUGGGCCGAUACUGACGGCUGAGGAGCGAAAGCGUGGGGAGCGAACAGGAUUAGAUACCCUGGUAGUCCACGCCGUAAACGGUGGGCACUAGGUGUGGGCAACAUUCCACGUUGUCCGUGCCGCAGCUAACGCAUUAAGUGCCCCGCCUGGGGAGUACGGCCGCAAGGCUAAAAACUCAAGGAAUUGACGGGGGCCCGCACAAGCGGCGGAGCAUGUGGCUUAAUUCGACGCAACGCGAAAACCUUACCAAGGCUUGACAUACACCGGAAAACCCUGGAGACAGGGUCCCCCUUGUGGUCGGUGUACAGGUGGUGCAUGGCUGUCGUCAGCUCGUGUCGUGAGAUGUUGGGUUAAGUCCCGCAACGAGCGCAACCCUUGUCCCGUGUUGCCAGCAGGCCCUUGUGGUGCUGGGGACUCACGGGAGACCGCCGGGGUCAACUCGGAGGAAGGUGGGGACGACGUCAAGUCAUCAUGCCCCUUAUGUCUUGGGCUGCACACGUGCUACAUGGCCGGUACAAAGAGCUGCGAUACCGUGAGGGGAGCGAAUCUAAAAAGCCGGUCUCAGUUCGGAUUGGGUCUCAACUCGACCCCAUGAAGUCGGAGUCGUAGUAAUCGCAGAUCAGCAUUGCUGCGGUGAAUACGUUCCCGGGCCUUGUACACACCGCCCGUCACGUCACGAAAGUCGGUAACACCCGAAGCCGGUGGCCCACCCCUUGUGGGAGGGAGCUGUCGAAGGUGGGACUGG